rnacentral:rRNA from 1 species
GUCACACCCGUUCCCAUCCCGAACACGGUCGUUAAGCUCUUCAGCGCCGAUGGUAAUUGGGGGCUUCCCCCUGUGAGAGUAGGACGCCGCCAGGC